rnacentral:rRNA from 1 species
GAAUCAGUACGCUGGUCGUGCCUUCGGUAUGUACUGGUGUCACUGGUUUCUCCCUUCUGAAGAACCAUCAUGCCAUUCACUUGGUGUGGUGGGAAAUCAGGACUGUUACUUUGAAAAAAUUAGAGUGUUUAAAGCAGGCGAAACAGCUUGAAUACAUUAGCAUGGAAUAAUAAAACAGGA